GUAGGUGGCAAGCGUUGUCCGGAAUUAUUGGGCGUAAAGCGCGCGCAAGCGGUUCUUUAAGUCUGAUGUGAAAGCCCACGGCUCAACCGUGGAGGGUCAUUGGAAACUGGAGAACUUGAGUACAGAAGAGGAAAGCGGAAUUCCACGUGUAGCGGUGAAAUGCGUAGAGAUGUGGAGGAACACCAGUGGCGAAGGCGGCUUUCUGGUCUGUAACUGACGCUGAGGCGCGAAAGCGUGGGGAGCAAACAGGGAUUAGAUACCCUGGUAGUCCACGCCGUAAACGAUGAGUGCUAAGUGUUAGGGGGUUUCCCGCCCCUUAGUGCUGCAGCUAACGCAUUAAGCACUCCGCCUGGGGAGUACGGCCGCAAGGCUG
rnacentral:rRNA from 1 species